rnacentral:ncRNA from 1 species
GGGAAGCCGGUGCAAAGCCGGCGCGGUCGCGCCACUGUGACCGGCCCACGCCCAGUGGGUCCGGGAGCCAGACC